UACGAAGGGGGCGAGCGUUGUUCGGAUUUACUGGGCGUAAAGGGCGCGCAGGCGGCGCAUUUUGUCAGGCGUGAAAGCCCCGGGCUUAACCUGGGAACUGCGUUUGAUACGGAUGGGCUAGAGUUCGGGAGAGGAGAGUGGAAUUCCCAGUGUAGAGGUGAAAUUCGUAGAUAUUGGGAAGAACACCGGUGGCGAAGGCGGCUCUCUGGACCGACAUUGACGCUGAGGAGCGAAAGCCAGGGGAGCAAACGGG
rnacentral:rRNA from 1 species